rnacentral:lncRNA from 1 species
GUGCUGGGAUUACAGGCAUGAGCCACCGCUCCCGGCCCGGCAGGCCCCCUAGAAGAUGCCAAUCAAAAUAAACUGCAUUCUUGAGACACAGGGCAAGAAAUUAAAGCUAUCCACCUCCUCAAGGCCCAGGGACUACGUGGAAGAGACAUCGAGUCAUGAAUAUGGAAUGACUUCACCUGACUUCACUUGAAAUUCACUUAAUUUUCAACUCUGUUGGCUAUGAGAUUUCAAGAAGACUGGAUAUUGGAGAGAAUCAUAAUAAAUGCAAGUAUUGGACAUUCAACUGUCUAGUUCCAACGUGCCAC